rnacentral:lncRNA from 1 species
AGAGCCGCAACCCUCUCACAAACCUUCUCUUUCCCAAAGUUGUUGUUUUCUACCAUACCUCACCAAAUUAAAAUCUCUCAUAAACAAAAAUCAGCAUAUCACCGAACAUAGCUUUUUCAUUCCAAUCAUAUUUAACAUCCCUCUCUGCCAACAAAUUUUCACAUACCUCACAUCAUCACCGAACACCAGUUUAUUUAUUAUUAGUUUUUUUUUUUUAACUCGUGAUCAUCCUUCAAUUCUUAUUAUGGCCACCGAUCCAAACAAUUCCUCCUCCAUCAUUGGAACCACCCCUCCUCCUCCAACACCCACUUCUACACAGACUCAUCCUGCCCUCACUAUACCAAAUAUCACUAAUUUCAUUAAGAUCACAUUGAGCAUGGAAAAGGGGACGUAUAACACUUAGUCUUAAUUAUUUAAACCAGUGUCAAAGGCUAUUCUCAUGCACUUCUAGGCCAAACUCUGCCUUCAACUUCAGCCUCGUUCGAGGGAGGGUAUUAGCAAUACACAACUGUCAUUGAAUAAAAAUUAUAUUAAGUGUGGGACACAAACAACACUUAAAGAGAAUCCCUAUAAUUGUGACACAAUUAAUGGAAAGUUGGUUGAAGAUUGAAAGCUGUGUAGCCGUAACAAAUAAGCCAACAAAUCAACCAUAUUUUAUCAAGAAAUUUGUCUAUGUUUGAGGGAUUUGUUAUUCAGUAUUUAUACAUGACCGUUGUACACACUAAUAUAUAUUUCCUCUACGUCUCUUGUAUCAAUCAGUGUUCACGUUUACAAUAUUUCUAAUAAAGUGAAAUAUUUCAUCUCGAUCCUUAUUUUCUUCUCUUCUUCUGGGUCAAGAUGAUGAUAGUUUGGGUCAACAACCAUUUACUGGCCUUGGUGCGAUGCCCAAAGGACAUAAUGUUGACUUUGAUUUUUUUUUUCCUACUGUGUUAAUCUAGAGGAUUAUCCUAAAUCUUAAUAAUGUGUAGAGGAUCAUAAGAAUGUGUUUGAUAAUAUUUUUGAGGUUGUUUCUUAUUCCAACACACUUGAACAUGC